rnacentral:rRNA from 1 species
CUGGAGACAGGUGCUGCAUGGCUGUCGUCAGCUCGUGUCGUGAGAUGUUGGGUUAAGUCCCGCAACGAGCGCAACCCUUGCCUUUAGUUGCCAGCAGUUCGGCUGGGCACUCUAAAGGGAACUGCCGGUAUUAAACCGGAGGGAGGUGGGGAUGACGUCAAGUCCUCAUGGCCUUUAUGACCAGGGCUACACACGUACUACAAUGGCCGAUACAAAGGGCAGCGACACUGCGAGGUGAAGCCAAUCCCGUAAAAUCGGUCUCAGUCCGGAUUGGAGUCUGCAACUCGACUCCAUGAAGUUGGAAUCGCUAGUAAUCGUGGAUCAGCAUGCCACGGUGAAUACGUUCCCGGGCCUU